GAUGAACGCUAGCGAUAGGCCUAACACAUGCAAGUCGAGGGGCAUCACAUGAAGUAGCAAUACGGAUGGUGGCGACCGGCGCACGGGUGAGUAACACGUAUGCAACCUGCCUUCAACAAGGGGAUAACCCGUUGAAAGACGGACUAAUACCCUAUAACACAGGGGUCCCGCAUGGGAAUAUUUGUUAAAGGACAACCGGUUGAAGAUGGGCAUGCGUUCCAUUAGCUAGUUGGCGGGGUAACGGCCCACCAAGGCAACGAUGGAUAGGGGAACUGAGAGGUUUAUCCCCCACACUGGUACUGAGACACGGACCAGACUCCUACGGGAGGCAGCAGUGAGGAAUAUUGGUCAAUGGACGCAAGUCUGAACCAGCCACGUCGCGUGAAGGAAGACGGCCCUACGGGUUGUAAACUUCUUUUAUACGGGAAUAAAGUGCCCCACGCGUGGGGUUUUGCAUGUACCGUACGAAUAAGGAUCGGCUAACUCCGUG
rnacentral:rRNA from 1 species